AUUUAUAUAGUUUAAUAAAAACCUUACAUUUUCAUUGUAAAAUUAGAAGAUUUCUUAUAAAUA
rnacentral:tRNA from 1 species